UACAGAGGUCUCAAGCGUUGUUCGGAUUCAUUGGGCGUAAAGGGUGCGUAGGCGGCGCGGUAAGUCGGGUGUGAAAUCUUGGAGCUUAACUCCGAAACUGCAUUCGAUACUGCAGUGCUUGAGGACUGGAGAGGAGACUGGAAUUUACGGUGUAGCGGUGAAAUGCGUAGAUAUCGUAAGGAAGACCAGUGGCGAAGGCGGGUCUCUGGACAGUUCCUGACGCUGAGGCACGAAGGUCAGGGGAGCAAACGGG
rnacentral:rRNA from 1 species